GAGGUCUUGUUAUGUGCUCAUGGCAUGUGUUAGUUUGCCCUGUGUGGGGAGCGCAGCAGCUGACGAUGCCGCCGUGGUCUGGCCUCUGGACGGUGGCUGCACGUCGUCCAUGGGAUGGAACUGGGUCUGAAUCUGAUGAGGAUGAUUGGUGGUAGCGUCAUGUGCCAUCCUGGGUCUGGUGUCAAUGCUUGUGGCUGGGGCUCAUUUGUUGACCAGGGCUAGUUUCCAGAUGUCUGGUAGGCGGGAGCAACAGGAAACAGGACAUCUGAACACCCCAGUUAAGGACAUCAAGCAAACAAGACAUAAGUGACAUGGUCCAAAGUUCUAGUGUUGGACAUAAGUCAAAGCAGAUGUUUUCAUUCCUUUUCUUCUGAGUACAUUGACCUGUUUCCAGAAGAUGCGCCUACGUCUAUGAACAUCUGUGUUUGCAUUUAAACACAGGUUAAAAGAAAGUACUUUGUUUACAACCUAACAGUUUGUAUCUAGUGCUCCAGGCCAAGUAAAUAAUACACCAAGGAC